rnacentral:rRNA from 1 species
AGAGUUUGAUCCUGGCUCAGGACGAACGCUGGCGGCGUGCCUAAUACAUGCAAGUAGAACGCUGAAGGAGGAGCUUGCUCUUCUGGAUGAGUUGCGAACGGGUGAGUAACGCGUAGGUAACCUGCCUGGUAGCGGGGGAUAACUAUUGGAAACGAUAGCUAAUACCGCAUAAGAGUAGAUGUUGCAUGACAUUUGCUUAAAAGGUGCAAUUGCAUCACUACCAGAUGGACCUGCGUUGUAUUAGCUAGUUGGUGAGGUAACGGCUCACCAAGGCAACGAUACAUAGCCGACCUGAGAGGGUGAUCGGCCACACUGGGACUGAGACACGGCCCAGACUCCUACGGGAGGCAGCAGUAGGGAAUCUUCGGCAAUGGACGGAAGUCUGACCGAGCAACGCCGCGUGAGUGAAGAAGGUUUUCGGAUCGUAAAGCUCUGUUGUAAGAGAAGAACGAGUGUGAGAGUGGAAAGUUCACACUGUGACGGUAUCUUACCAGAAAGGGACGGCUAACUACGUGCCAGCAGCCGCGGUAAUACGUAGGUCCCGAGCGUUGUCCGGAUUUAUUGGGCGUAAAGCGAGCGCAGGCGGUUAGAUAAGUCUGAAGUUAAAGGCUGUGGCUUAACCAUAGUACGCUUUGGAAACUGUUUAACUUGAGUGCAAGAGGGGAGAGUGGAAUUCCAUGUGUAGCGGUGAAAUGCGUAGAUAUAUGGAGGAACACCGGUGGCGAAAGCGGCUCUCUGGCUUGUAACUGACGCUGAGGCUCGAAAGCGUGGGGAGCAAACAAGAUUAGAUACCCUGGUAGUCCACGCCGUAAA